rnacentral:rRNA from 1 species
UACGAAGGGGGCUAGCGUUGCUCGGAAUCACUGGGCGUAAAGGGUGCGUAGGCGGGUCUUUAAGUCAGGGGUGAAAUCCUGGAGCUCAACUCCAGAACUGCCUUUGAUACUGAAGAUCUUGAGUUCGGGAGAGGUGAGUGGAACUGCGAGUGUAGAGGUGAAAUUCGUAGAUAUUCGCAAGAACACCAGUGGCGAAGGCGGCUCACUGGCCCGAUACUGACGCUGAGGCACGAAAGCGUGGGGAGCAACAGGGAUUAGAAACCCUU